AGUCGUCGGUAACGUGGCCGCAGCCCGAGAGCGUGACGGACGCCAGGUUGGGGCACCUGUGAGGAGAGUGCGGUGACCCGGGGCUCACUGGCUUGUUAAAGCUACCCAACCGCCCCAUGGGACCGAGUGGACUCAUUUACCGAGGAGGACUCGGGCCCUGCGAGGUCACUUCAUCCUGGCCCAGGUACUGCAGCUCCAAAUCGUGGGGAUUCUGUAAGAGCUUGCUACCUGUUGACUGAGGAGGCCCACGAGUUGAGAAGAACUAGCAAGAGUGGUACAAAACUGCAGGUCAUUGGGCUGGCCACCAGGUAUUCCCACCCACCAGAAGCUGGCUGUUGUACUCACCCGGAACCAUGGUGCACCACCACAGCGGCGAGGUCAUACAGGCAGCUCUCCGGGCCACUGUUCUCAGGCUACAGAACAAGGAAGAAGGAGCAGUGGUCAAUGACAUCAGUAUCUCGAUGACCUCUACCCUCUCCAUGUGAUGACAAUCUUACUGAAGAGCCAUUUUUUCACCAUGCUAAAAAGGGAAGAGGAGCACAGCAGUAACGCUGAUGGGAAGAAGGUGCUGACAGAUGGACUCACUGGGGUCACGGCAACAAUCGACAGUACAGGUGGCAAACAUUGUGUAAAAUACUCCAAAUCCAAGACACACAUUUAUAAAAGUCUGUAACAGGU
rnacentral:lncRNA from 1 species